rnacentral:rRNA from 1 species
AUUGAACGCUGGCGGCAGGCCUAACACAUGCAAGUCGAGCGGAUGAAGGGAGCUUGCUCCUGGAUUCAGCGGCGGACGGGUGAGUAAUGCCUAGGAAUCUGCCUGGUAGUGGGGGAUAACGUCCGGAAACGGGCGCUAAUACCGCAUACGUCCUGAGGGAGAAAGUGGGGGAUCUUCGGACCUCACGCUAUCAGAUGAGCCUAGGUCGGAGUAGCUAGUUGGUGGGGUAAAGGCCUACCAAGGCGACGAUCCGUAACUGGUCUGAGAGGAUGAUCAGUCACACUGGAACUGAGACACGGUCCAGACGCCUACGGGAGGCAGCAGUGGGGAAUAUUGGACAAUGGGCGAAAGCCUGAUCCAGCCAUGCCGCGUGUGUGAAGAAGGUCUUCGGAUUGUAAAGCACUUUAAGUUGGGAGGAAGGGCAGUAAGUUAAUACCUUGCUGUUUUGACGUUACCAACAGAAUAAGCACCGGCUAACUUCGUG